GAUGAAGAACGUAGCGAAAUGCGAUAAGUAGUGUGAAUUGCAGAAUUCAGUGAAUCAUCGAAUCUUUGAACGCACAUUGCGCCCCUUGGUAUUACAUGGGGCAUGCCUGUUCGAGCGUCAUUUGUACCUUCAAGCUCUGCUUGGUGUUGGGUGUUUGUCUCGCCUCUGCGCGUAGACUCGCCUCAAAACAAUUGGCAGCCGGCGUAUUGAUUUCGGAGCGCAGUACAUCUCGCGCUUUGCACUCAUAACGACGACGUCCAAAAGUACAUUUUUACACUCUUGACCUCGGAUCAGGUAGGGAUACCCGCUGAACUUAAGCAUAUCAAUAAGCGGAGGA
rnacentral:misc_RNA from 1 species